rnacentral:lncRNA from 1 species
UUUUUUGUGAUAUUUGAUCUUAUAUCCCAGAUUUUUUUUUUUCAUAUUUUAAAUGUUUUCACAUGCACUGUUUUCCCAACAAGAUUGUUCUCACCAUCAUAUACAUGAAGAUAAUUUCUGUCAUGAAAUUGAAAGAGUGUGUGUGUGUGUUGUUUAUUAUUAUAGAAAGUUCUUAUGUUCAAGAUUGCAGAUUAUUUCCUUGGAAUCACUCAUCCUGUUUGAGACCUUGCAUUGUCUAGAAGAAACAAGAACACUUUUAUGUUAAAUCAAUGCAGGCUGUUUUUGGAGUAGUGUAUCCUGAUCCUGCAGUUGUGCUGAGUAACUUCCUGUGUGAUUGUUUGUCCAAAGAGUAGAAGAAUGAAUAGUACUAGCUGUAUUCCACUAGACACACAGCAUAAUUUUCUGUUGAAUUGGAGGUUUUGAUGGAUGCAGCACAGAUUCAGUGGAUGAUAACCAAUGAUGUGAUUAGUGAUACUGUACCUAAAUCAUUUUUCAUCACACACAAAUAACUAAUCCAAAAAUGACUUAUUUUAGUACAAAAAAUCAGAAGUAAAUAACCU